GAAAACAUACAGGAAUUUAAAAUGGCUGACUUGGCAUUAAAAUUACAAUAAAAUUAAUAGGAAAUUGGGAAAAAACAAAAGGGCAACCCACACCCGCUAAACCCAAAUGAGUUUCCCCAAUUCCCCCAAAUUGACAUUGGUACAGACGCGACUUCUACCAAAGCCAAGUCGGCCGCCGCACUCACCGUCACCACUGGCUGACGUCGACGAAAAGCAUACAUCGCAUCCUUCGCAUUUACACCAUUGGCAGCCACGAUUUGACGUCAGUUUGCCCUAAGCUCCUACUCCAAGUAGAAUCGACAGCCGCACUCACCGUCAUCGCCUGGCGCCGCACUCACCUCAGCCGCAUUCACUUCCUUCCCUGGCGCCCCACUCACCUCAGCCACACCUCCAUCCCCUGGCAGUAAUUAAUCAGCUAAAAUGAGAGGAGGAAAUUGUGAACAAUCAGGCGCCCGACAAGGAAGAUGAAGAAUUGCCAAGACUCUUUGAUGGGCUAGCUAGAAUUAGCGAGAAACGAGAUGUCGACAUAUCACUGCAAAUGAUUUUUCGCAAGGGAAAAGGAAUUGUCAACUGUGACGAGAAAGGAAAGAGAUCAGAUUGAGGGGGUGAUUUGAGUCAUGUUGUCAGUUGUAGCACUAGGAUGAUGUGAAUUUCAAUUUGUAUAACGAUAUAUUGGUUUUAUGUAUGUCUAAUCUGCAUUUCAGUGCGGUUUCUAAGAAAAAAAUGAACUUGUGAAUCACAUUCACUA